rnacentral:tRNA from 1 species
AUUAUUUUGGCAGAUUAGUGUUUUAAAUUUAGAAUUUAAAUAAGUAUAAUUUUAGUUUAUGCAAAUAAUA